CCUACGGGAGGCAGCAGUGGGGAAUCUUGCGCAAUGGGCGAAAGCCUGACGCAGCCAUGCCGCGUGAAUGAUGAAGGUCUUAGGAUUGUAAAAUUCUUUCACCGGGGACGAUAAUGACGGUACCCGGAGAAGAAGCCCCGGCUAACUUCGUGCCAGCAGCCGCGGUAAUACGAAGGGGGCUAGCGUUGCUCGGAAUUACUGGGCGUAAAGGGAGCGUAGGCGGAUAGUUCAGUCAGAGGUGAAAGCCCAGGGCUCAACCUUGGAACUGCCUUUGAUACUGGCUAUCUUGAGUUUGGGAGAGGUAUGUGGAACUCCGAGUGUAGAGGUGAAAUUCGUAGAUAUUCGGAAGAACACCAGUGGCGAAGGCGACAUACUGGCCCAAUACUGACGCUGAGGCUCGAAAGCGUGGGGAGCAAACAGGAUUAGAUACCCUGGUAGUCCACGCUGUAAACGAUGAGUGCUAGUUGUCGGCAUGCAUGCAUGUCGUGACGCAGCUACGCAUAAGACACUCCGCCGUCGGGUAGGUACGGUCGCGAGAAGUUAAACUACAAUAGUAAGUUAGUACGGCGUGAGACGUGACCGACGGACGACGACGAGGGAGGAGGG
rnacentral:rRNA from 1 species